rnacentral:rRNA from 1 species
UACGUAGGCAGCGAGCGUUGUUCGGAGUUACUGGGCGUAAAGGGUGUGUAGGCGGUUGGUUAAGUUUGGUGUGAAAUCUCCCGGCUCAACUGGGAGGGGGCGCCGAAUACUGAAUGACUUGGAGUGCGGGAGAGGAAAGUGGAAUUCCUGGUGUAGCGGUGAAAUGCGUAGAUAUCAGGAGGAACACCGGUGGUGUAGACGGCUUUCUGGACCGUAACUGACGCUGAGACACGAAAGCGUGGGUAGCAAACAGG